rnacentral:rRNA from 1 species
CGUAGGGUGCGAGCGUUAAUCGGAAUUACUGGGCGUAAAGCGUGCGCAGGCGGUGAUGUAAGACAGUUGUGAAAUCCCCGGGCUCAACCUGGGAACUGCAUCUGUGACUGCAUCGCUGGAGUGCGGCAGAGGGGGAUGGAAUUCCGCGUGUAGCAGUGAAAUGCGUAGAUAUGCGGAGGAACACCGAUGGCGAAGGCAAUCCCCUGGGCCUGCACUGACGCUCAUGCACGAAAGCGUGGGGAGCAAACAGGAUUAGAUACCCUGGUAGUCCACGCCCUAAACGAUGUCAACUGGUUGUUGGGAAUUCACUUACUCAGUAACGAAGCUAACGCGUGAAGUUGACCGCCUGGGGAGUACGGCCGCAAGGUUG